rnacentral:rRNA from 1 species
GACGUAGGAGGCGAGCGUUAUCCGGAUUCACUGGGCGUAAAGCGCAUGUAGGCGGUUUGUUAAGUCCGUUGUUAAAGCCCCUGGCUCAACUGCGAGUCGGCCAUAGAUACUCCUAAGCUCGAGUCGACUAGAGGCAGAUGGAAUUCCGGGUGUAGCGGUGGAAUGCGUAGAGAUCCGGAAGAACACCGGUGGCGAAGGCGGUCUGCUGGGGUCGAACUGACGCUGAGGCGCGACAGCGUGGGGAGCAAACAGG